rnacentral:misc_RNA from 1 species
UCUCCGUAGGUGAACCUGCGGAGGGAUCAUUACAGAGUUCAUGCCCUACCGGGUAGAUCUCCCACCCUAUGUUAUUAUUACUUUGUUGCUUUGGCGGGCCGUUAGGCUCCGGCCCGACUACCGGCCCCGGCUGGUAAGCGCCCGCCAGAGGACCCUAAACCCUGAAUAUUAGUGUCGUCUGAGUACUAUAUAAUAGUUAAAACUUUCAACAACGGAUCUCUUGGUUCUAGCAACGAUGAAGAACGCAGC